GACGAACGCUGGCGGCGUGCUUAACACAUGCAAGUCGAACGGAUGCAAGGGGCUUGCUCCUUGCAUUAGUGGCGGACGGGUGAGUAACACGUGAGCAACCUGCCCUAUACAACGGAAUAACACAGAGAAAUUUGUGCUAAUACGGUAUAAGACCACACUUGGGCAUCCAGGAGGGGUAAAAGCUGAGGCGGUAUAGGAGGGGCUCGCGGUCCAUUAGAUAGUUGGUGAGGUAACGGCCCACCAAGUCGACGAUGGAUAGCCGACCUGAGAGGGUGAUCGGCCACAUUGGAACUGAGAUACGGUCCAAACUCCUACGGGAGGCAGCAGUGGGGAAUAUUGGGCAAUGGAGGCAACUCUGACCCAGCAACGCCGCGUGAACGAAGAAGGCCUUCGGGUUGUAAAGUUCUUUAAUUGGGGACGAAGAAAGUGACGGUACCCAAAGAAUAAGCCACGGCUAACUACGUGCCAGCAGCCGCGGUAAUACGUAGGUGGCAAGCGUUGUCCGGAAUGACUGGGCGUAAAGGGAGCGUAGGCGGCGCGACAAGUUAGGAGUGAAAUCCCGAGGCUUAACCUCGGAACUGCUUUUAAAACUGUCGUGCUUGAGUGAUGGAGAGGAAAGCGGAAUUCCUAGU
rnacentral:rRNA from 1 species